CGGUACUGUGUGUCCCUUGAGGAUCAACUGGUGUCUGUACCCAACGUUGUGAAGUACCUUGGCGCAAACCUGGCAUCUGUGCACAGCUCCGAGGAGGACCAGUUUCUACAGGCGUUGGUCUUGGUCAAGACUGUUGGUUUCCCUCCUACCUGGAUUGGCGGAUUUUAUUCGGUUAAGGACAGGCGGUGGUUCUGGAGUGAUGGCUCCGACUUUGAUCACCAGAACUGGGCUAAAGGAAGGCCUGGUGCUGGUGCCAGAGAGUCUUGUGUUCAUAUCAACUUUGGAGGUCAACAGCGCUGGGACAAUGCAUUAUGUGAAAGGAGCUUGCCCUCUGUGUGCUCCCUGAGGCUCCUGCCGCUUCGCCAGAGUAUCCAUUAAAAGCAGCAAUGCUA